rnacentral:lncRNA from 1 species
UUUUUUCUUAAUAAAUUUUGAUUUACUGUACAAUAAAGUCAAGAAAGUCAUAGCUGAAACACAAGUAUUCUCUACAAAUUAGCUGACCCAUAAAAGAAGAAGAAUACAACUACAAGAAAAAUCCAUACAUAUAAUUUUUUUCCUCCAAUUUCCACAUUGAUGCCAAUAUCCAAAAACUUAGCAAACAUCCAAACGUCUAUACCCAUACAUACAAACAGAUAGACAUGUAUGUAUAUAUAUAUAUCCCAAUAUACUUAAUAAUUUUACAUUCUAUGUAGCUUUCCACAAUCAGAUUACCCAUUUACAUUCUAUUACUUGAUGACCAGUAGAAAUGAUCCGUGAACGAGAAAAAACUGUUCGGUUGCUGCAGCUGUACGCGUUAAAACUAUCAUCAACCAGUUCUAAGUUAGCAGAAACCGGUAAAAGUUCCAUACUCGGUUCCUGGAAAACCAAACUGCUGCAUGUUCCAAUCACCAGCAGUACCAGAACCAUGCUGCUUAUCUGGUGACAUUGUGUAGGUGUUGAAGAGAGUGGUGGAAGGAUCCACUCUAUAGGCUCCGCCAAACGAGCCCAUCUCUUGAGCAACGUAACCAGAGGUUCCGGAGCCAUAAUUUCUGGCGAAUGAGCUUAGGUACGUUGGAGUUUGAUGUGCAUACAAGCCUUCCAAAUGCUGAAGAGAUGGUUGCAAAUUCAAGGCAGUCUCUGACGUUGGAGCAACCUUCCGGGCUUGAGCCUUGAGGAAAGGAGCUGGGAUAUUAUGUUUCUGGUCUACAGAAUCAUUCCCGAUAGUCUUCUGCUUUUCUAGCUCCAAAAUGUAAUUUUCGAGCUCCUCUGGCGAACAGUGUGAUUCGAGCCUGUGAUCUAUGAUGCAUUUGAUGAUGGCUCUCACAGUCUCUAUUUCUCUUUCGAUUGCCUGCUUCUGUGAG